AACGAACGCUGGCGGCAUGCCUAACACAUGCAAGUCGAACGAGACCUUCGGGUCUAGUGGCGCACGGGUGCGUAACGCGUGGGAACCUGCCCUUAGGUUCGGAAUAACUCCCCGAAAGGGGUGCUAAUACCGGAUAAUGUCUUCGGACCAAAGAUUUAUCGCCUUUGGAUGGGCCCGCGUUGGAUUAGCUAGUUGGUAGGGUAAAAGCCUACCAAGGCGACGAUCCAUAGCUGGUCUGAGAGGAUGAUCAGCCACACUGGGACUGAGACACGGCCCAGACUCCUACGGGAGGCAGAAGUGGGGAAUAUUGGACAAUGGGCGAAAGCCUGAGCCAGCAAUGCCGCGUGAGUGAUGAAGGCCUUAGGGUUGUAAAGCUCUUUUACCCGGGAUGAUAAUGACAGUACCGGGAGAAUAAGCUCCGGCUAACUCCGUG
rnacentral:rRNA from 1 species